GCUGGGCACGGCGAUGCACUCCUGUAAUCCCAGCAACUUGGGAGGCUGAGGCAGGAGGAUCAUGAGUUCAAGGCCAGCCUCAGCAAAAGGAAGACACUAAGCAACUCAGGGAGACCCUGUCUCUA
rnacentral:sRNA from 1 species